GAUGAACGCUGGCGGUAUGCCUUACACAUGCAAGUCGUACGAGAGUUUUUAACUCAAGUGGCGGACGGGUGAGUAACACGUAAGAAUUUACCUUUAGGGGGGGGAUAACAACUGGAAACGGUUGCUAAUACCCCAUAUGCUUUCGAGUGAAAUGGGUUUCCGCCUAAAGAAAAGCUUGCGGCUGAUUAGCUUGUUGGUGAGGUAAUGGCUCACCAAGGCGACGAUCAGUAUCUGGUUUGAGAGGAUGAUCAGGCACACUGGAACUGAGACACGGUCCAGACUCCUAUGGGAGGCAGCAGUGGGGAAUUUUGGACAAUGGGCGCAAGCCUGAUCCAGCAAUGCCGCGUGCAGGAUGAAGGCCUUCGGGUUGUAAACUGCUUUUGUACGGAACGAAAAGCCCUGGGUUAAUACCCUGGGGUCAUGACGGUACCGUAAGAAUAAGCACCGGCUAACUACGU
rnacentral:rRNA from 1 species